GUGGCCAUGAUACGUCACAAUACGAGGCCGAGGGAGGAAUUCUGUCGUCUGGGAACGGCUGGUUUCGCGGUCAGACGCCGAGGGCCCUCGAAGUCCCUAGCAACGGCUGCGGAGGGAGAUUCCACCUAGGUCCGUGCAGGUUACAAAUGGCAACCAGAACAGGGACUCCAAGCACGCCCAACUAGCAGCAUCCAAACAUGGGACUUCAAGGACGUGAAUGAAGAAGGUCUGCUGGAGCAGAGGAACUGAAAUUGACAAGGCGAAAGGGGACCCUGGGAAGAGUCUGCCGGCAGCAGAUAUAAGUCUGUAAAAUCGGAUGGACCACCAAUUGGAGAAUGAGAGCCUCCCAGCCCAGCCUUACAUUCUUUCAAUUAAUACAUAAACAGAAAGGGGGAUAUGCAGGGAGCCAAAGGCCUGUGGGACGUGACCAACUCAGCAUUCUGCUGGAGGCUAUAUGAUCAAACAGCAAACUGUUUAUCAUGAAUACAGGAUGUGAGCAAACUCAGGACUGCUCCUGCCAACAUAAGGUUUGCUGGAGGCAAUCACUCCCUGGCACCGAGGUUAUCUACUGCGACAUCUAGAGAAUGCAGUCUUGCAAGCCUACUCUGAACUGAGCAGCCGACCCCUUCUUCCACCCCCCCACCCUCCUAUCUCUUUUGCCUAAUAAAUACGGAGGGCUGUGUAAAGCUCAGGGCCCUUGUCCACUAGAGGUAAGGUGCUCCCUGACCCCUUCUCCCAAAUAUA
ensembl:lncRNA ZNF350-AS1 ZNF350 antisense RNA 1